CUGCACAAUUCUAUGUCCUACUCUUUGUCCUGUAAGAGCUGAGAUAUUUCUGUUGUGCCAGAGGAAUGCUGGAGGUCAAUUAUCAGAGUGGCUGCACUGCCAACUCUGCCAGUCCCCUUCAUAUAGCA
ensembl:snoRNA